AUAUAGCCCCGAUAGAGUGGAUAUCCUUUUAUGGUGGGGUUCACCAUAAAAGAUAGGAGUGAAAGCGGGACUUGAG
rnacentral:sRNA from 1 species